rnacentral:rRNA from 1 species
GCAGCCAUCAUUUAAAGAAAGCGUAAUAGCUCACUGAUCGAGUCGUCCUGCGCGGAAGAUGUACCGGGGCUAAGCCAAUAACCGAAGCUGCGGAUGUGCCGCGAGGCACGUGGUAGGAGAGCGUUCUGUAAGCCUGUGAAGGUGUCUUGUGAAGGAUGCUGGAGGUAUCAGAAGUGCGAAUGCUGACAUGAGUAGCGAUAAAGAGUGUGAAAGGCACUCUCGCCGAAAGCCCAAGGUUUCCUGUGCAACGCUAAUCGGCGCAGGGUGAGUCGGCCCCUAAGGCGAGGGUGAAAACCGUAGCUGAUGGGAAGCAGGUUAAUAUUCCUGCACCAUUGUUCAAUGCGAUGGGGGGACGAAGAAGGUUAGCUCAGCCGGGUGUUGGAUGUCCUGGUUUAAGCAUGUAGCCGUGCCUGGUAGGCAAAUCCGCCGGGCUUAGGUGAGGUGUGAUGACGAGAGGGCUUGCCCUCGAAGUGAGUGAUACCCAGCUUCCAAGAAAAGCCUCUAAGCUUCAGUUGAACAAGACCGUACCGCAAACCGACACUGGUGCGCGAGAUGAGUAUUCUAAGGCGCUUGAGAGAACUCUGGAGAAGGAACUCGGCAAAUUGACACCGUAACUUCGGGAGAAGGUGUGCCCUCAGUAGGUGAACCUGUACAAGGGGAGCCCAAAGGGGUUGCAAAGAAUAGGUGGCUGCGACUGUUUAUUAAAAACACAGCACUCUGCAAACACGAAAGUGGACGUAUAGGGUGUGACGCCUGCCCGGUGCCGGAAGGUUAAGUGAUGGGGUGCAAGCUCUUGAUCGAAGUCCCAGUAAACGGCGGCCGUAACAAUAACGGUCCUAAGGUAGCGAAAUUCCUUGUCGGGUA